GCUACACAUGCAGUCGAGCGGUAACAGAAGUAGCUUGCUACUUUGCUGACGAGCGGCGGACGGGUGAGUAAUGCUUGGGAACAUGCCUUGAGGUGGGGGACAACAGUUGGAAACGACUGCUAAUACCGCAUAAUGUCUACGGACCAAAGGGGGCUUCGGCUCUCGCCUUUAGAUUGGCCCAAGUGGGAUUAGCUAGUUGGUGAGGUAAUGGCUCACCAAGGCAACGAUCCCUAGCUGGUUUGAGAGGAUGAUCAGCCACACUGGAACUGAGACACGGUCCAGACUCCUACGGGAGGCAGCUGUGGGGAAUAUUGCACAAUGGGCGCNAGCCUGAUGCAGCCAUGCCGCGUGUGUGAAGAAGGCCUUCGGGUUGUAAAGCACUUUCAGUCNGGAGGAAAGGUUANUAGUUAAUACCUGCUA
rnacentral:rRNA from 1 species